GCUCCGUGGCCUGACUUAGUCUGUCCAGGGCCAGCCACCCAGGCCUCCAUGGUUCGUUUACUUCUUUGGUCGUCUCUGCUAGAAUUUUUUUCCAUGGAAAACAGGAGCUGCUUCACCUCAUUUCCAUCCCAGAUCUCUGAUACUGUAUAAAAAGAUUGGAAGCUGGCUUGUCAGCAUUGCCUCCCUCCUUCCAUGGACUUUCUUUGGGUCAGGAAAGGGCACUUUAAUCCUUUUCCUGCCCAUGACCCUCAGAACAGAGGUAAAAAGUGGCCAGAGGGAUGUGUUCAGCUUCUAGAUAUCUGCAGAGGUGUUGUCUCAGACAGUCUGGCUUACCCUUGGGGGCAGGUUGGCUUUGAGGCAGCACUUGGAGGCCUUGGGGUGUUGUAACUGGCUCAGACUCAUCGGUGGACAGUCCGCUAUCAGUUUCUGUGUCCAAUGAGCCGAUUGCCGCUUCCAGGAAGAGUAGACAUGCCUUCUCCUCAGCCGACAGGAAGUCAUAGAUGCCGUCACUCUGCGUGAAGAAGGAGCUGUGAGAGGGAGGUCCCUCUGCAGAAACUGGCGGAGCCCAAGAACUGCCCUGCCGUAGGGAAGGAAUGCUGAAGAGCUGGAAGCUGUCCGCAGAGCUACCCCGCAAGCCUGUUGGAGCAUUCCGCCCUCUUCUACUUGCCCCAGCUGGACCUGGAUGUGGUAUUUCCUUCCACUGACUUUAUAGACCUUGAAACUUGAGAGGUGUUUCUAAUCUGAUAAACAGCCCAAGAAGCAAGUCACUCAAGAAAGAAAAAACAAGCUGCUAAGCUUCCGAGAAGCCUGAGGAGGAGGAGGAAGCCUGAACUACAAAGAGGGACACCCUGGUUGAUGUAGGUCAGCGCUGGAGGGAAGUGUGUGUCUUUGUAUAUGAAUUCCUGUUUGAUGAUCCGUCUCUGAAACCUGGUGGCAGCCUGGCUCACCUGACUCAUCUCUCCCCCGAUUCUGCCACCUUGCAGGCUCUUGUGGCACAGUCACCUUCCUGGCUUAAGAGGCUCAGCUGCUUCCUUCCCCAGUAUGACCUCUCUUCCACUGAGUCACACACAUGCAUGUGCACAUAACACUACCCACAACAAUCUUUGGCCAGUCUGUCUUCUUUGGGCCCCGUAUAACAGUGCAAAAACAGUUAAGGACCUCCGUUCUAGCCAUUCUAGACCUAGUCAUUCACAUUCAGUCACUUCUUCUAAUCAGUGACCUUCUUCCUUUCUUCUCCUAAAGGAAAAUCGUGUUACUUUGAACAUAAACCAACACAUCCCGAGGCCGUGAUGUUCAUAGUACUUUCUGUUGAAGUACUAAUAUUUCUGGGUGUGACCUCUUAAAUAUUGGGGGAGGAACAAUUUUAUUUCAUUAGAAACUAUAGGUUCAAGGGUUUGCUUUAGUUAAAGAGAAAAUGGCUAGGGAGGGGUU